UGGACUGGAAAAGAGGAAGGCAAACGCAGUGGCUAAGCGGAGACCUCCCAAAUCCCACGUGUCCCCGAGAAUCACAGACGGGCUACAGACCUAGGGCAGCCAUAAGAAAAAACGUCAGCUACAUCUCGAGGGAGUGGGGUGGAGUGGGGCCGCUUGCUCUAGUCGAGCCCUGACAUCGAUUCUGCGGGGGCGGGGAGGAGUCGGCGAGGGGCUGGGGCUGGGGCUGGGAGGGGAGUUUAUUUAUUAGCCAGAUUAGCCAGCAUUAAUGGGGGAGCGGUGGCGGCCGGCGGCAGCAGGGACAUAGCUGGCAUAGCUGGCAUAGCGGCGGGGCCUCCCGCGGCGCGGGGCUCCGCGGCUUCAAAGGGGCUUAAAGAGGCCCUUGGUGGCACUGCCACGGCCCCGCGGGGGAGGGCGUGGGCGCGGGCGGCGGGGGAGAAGGCGACCAUUGUGCACCGAGGGAUUAGGGCUCUGGCCUGGAAGGAAUUUUAAACUGCCGCAAGCCGGAGCCCCAGGACUCUCCUCCUGCCCCACCCCUGCCCUCCGGAGCACGAGCACGCCGAGAAACACUCUGUCUUCCUGCUUUGAGGACAGCUGAAGUCUCGCCACUUCUUCUGGAUGCUCUGACCAUCAGUAAGCCACCUCAGUCUCACCCUCCGCAGAAUGCAGGCCCACUCCGUCGCUGAAGGGCCUCCUCCUUGGGCCAGGGCGCCUGCUUCUGCCAGUGGCAUCAUCACCCCACUCCUCAGCCGCCAGUCAUCAGAGACACAGUCUUACUUUGUCACCCCAGCUGGAGUGCAGUGGUGCAAUCAUGGCUCACUGCAGCCUCAGCCUCCUGGGCUCAAGUGAUCCUCUCGCCUUAGCCUCCUAAGUAGCUAGGACUACAGAUGCACCCCAUCACGCCUAGCUGAUUUUACAACUUUUGUAGAGAUGGGGUGUUGCUGUGUUGCCCAGGCUGGUCUUGAAUUCCUGGGCUCAAGCGAUCCUCCUGUGUCCGGAAUUGGUGGGUUCUUGGUCUCACUGACUUCAAGAAUGAAGCCGCAGACCCUCGCAGUGAGUGUUACAGUUCUUAAAGGCAGCGUGUCCGGAGUUUGUUCCUUCUGAUGUUCGGAUGUGUUCGGAGUUUAUUCCUUCUGGUGGGUUCGUAGUCUCGCUGGCUCAGGAGUGAAGCUGCAGACCUUCGAGGGUCUGUAUCCACCAGCUACUCUUCCAGAUUCAUGAGGCAAGGCCUGCCUGCUCACCUGGCUGGCCCCAAGCACCUCUUCAACCUGCUGCCACCGUCCUGCCUUGCUGCCCUUCUCAGCUUAUCCAGCAGGGUCUCCAAGUCAUGGAAACAGAAGCACAUAUACACACAUGCUCAUAUGUACGUGCCCACAGCCACAUAAGCACACCGAGAAACACCAUCGCAGACAUGUUCUCACAAGCACGUGUGCAUAACACACUCACUACCCCUCACGCCUAUACACAUUAAUACACACACACUCAUGCACACUCAGUCUUACACAGACACACAGCCAUAAUCACUGUUGUUGGUUGGAUUGUGCCCCCCCAUCCCUGCCAAAAAGAUAUGUUGGAGUCCUAACCCCCAGUACCUGGGGAUGUGACUGUAGUUGGAAAUAGGGUGUUUGUAGAUGUAAUCAAAUUAAGAUGAGAUCUUGCUGGAUUAGAGUGGGCCUUAAAUCCAGUGCCUGGUGUCCUUAUAAGGAGAAAAAGAUUUGAAAACAGAGACAUGGAGACACAGAGCAGAAGGCCAUGCGAUGAUGGAGUCAGAGAUUGGAGUGAUGCAGCUACAAGCCGAGAAAUACCAAGGUGCUGGCAGCCCCCAGAACAAGGAGAGAGGCAAGGAACAAUCUCCAUCAGAGCCUCUGGAAGAAACAGACUCUGCCAACAGCUUGAUUUCAGACUUUUGGCCUCCUUCACUGUACGAGAAUACAUUUCUGUUGUUUUAAAC